rnacentral:rRNA from 1 species
CUAGAAGGAACUCGGCAAAUUGACACCGUAACUUCGGAAGAAGGUGUGCCUUUAGUAGGUGAACCUGUACAAGGGGAGCCCAAUGAGGUUGCAAAAAAUCGGUGGCUGCGACUGUUUAAUAAAAACACAGCACUCUGCAAACACGAAAGUGGACGUAUAGGGUGUGACGCCUGCCCGGUGCUGGAAGAUUAAAUGAUGGGGUGCAAGCUCUUGAUCGAAGUCCCAGUAAACGGCGGCCUUAACAAUAACGGUCCUAAGGUAGCGAAAUUCCUUGUCGGGUAAGUUCCGACCUGCACGAAUGGCGUAACGAUGGCCGCACUGUCUCCUCCUGAGACUCAGCGAAGUUGAAAUGUUUGUGAUGAUGCAAUCUCCCCGCGGAAAGACGGAAAGACCCCAUGAACCUUUACUGUAGCUUUGUAUUGGACUUUGAACAGAUCUGUGUAGGAUAGGUGGGAGGCUUUGAAGUGUGGUCGCUAGAUCGCAUGGAGCCAACGUUGAAAUACCACCCUGGUGUGUUUGAGGUUCUAACCUAGGCCCGUAAUCCGGGUCGGGGACAGUGCAUGGUAGGCAGUUUGACUGGGGCGGUCUCCUCCCAAAGCGUAACGGAGGAGUUCGAAGGUACGCUAGGUACGGUCGGACAUCGUGCUAAUAGUGCAAUGGCAUAAGCGUGCUUAACUGCGAGACUGACAAGUCGAGCAGAUGCGAAAGCAGGACAUAGUGAUCCGGUGGUUCUGUAUGGAAGGGCCAUCGCUCGACGGAUAAAAGGUACUCUGGGGAUAACAGGCUGAUACCGCCCAAGAGUUCAUAUCGACGGCGGUGUUUGGCACCUCGAUGUCGGCUCAUCUCAUCCUGGGGCUGUAGCCGGUCCCAAGCGUAUGGCUGUUCGCCAUUUAAAGAGGUACGUGAGCUGGGUUUAAAACGUCGUGAGACAGUUUGGUCCCUAUCUUCCGUGGGCGCUGCAGACUUGAGGAAGCCUGCUCCUAGUACGAGAGGACCGGAGUGGACACACCUCUGGUGUAUCGGUUGUCACGCCAGUGGCAUUGCCGAGUAGCUAUGUGUGCAAGAGAUAACCGCUGAAAGCAUCUAAGCGGGAAACUCGUUUCAAGAUGAGAUCUGCCGGGGCCUUGAGCCCCCUAAAGAGUCGUUCAAGACCAGGACGUUGAUAGGUCGGGUGUGGAAGCGCAGUAAUGCGUUAAGCUAACCGAUACUAAUUGCUCGUGCGGCUUGACCAA